rfam:Nematostella vectensis strain CH2 x CH6 NEMVEscaffold_452_Cont27642, whole genome shotgun sequence.
GUUGCGGUGGCCGAGUGGUUAAGGCGUUGGACUAGAAAUCCAAUGGGAUCUUCCCGCGCAGGAUCGAAUCCUGCCCGCAACG